rnacentral:misc_RNA from 1 species
GAUAAGAACGUAGCGAAAUGCGAUAAGUAAUGUGAAUUGCAGAAUUCCGUGAAUCAUCGAAUCUUUGAACGCACAUUGCGCCCCCUGGCAUUCCGGGGGGCAUGCCUGUCCGAGCGUCAUUUCUGCCCUCCAGCCCGGCUGGGUGUUGGGCGCUGUCCCCCCGGGGACACGCCCCAAAGGCAGUGGCGGCGCCGCGUCGGGUCCUCGAGCGUAUGGGGCUUUGUCACCCGCUCGGGACGGACUCGUCGGCGCUGGUCUUCCUCCAGGCGACCCUUCGGGGCUCGUCUUCCUUCGGUUGACCUCGGAUCAGGUAGGACUACCCGCUGAACUUAAGCAUAUCAAUAAGCGGAGGA